GGAUUAUUGGGCGUAAAGAGCUCGUAGGCGGUUUGUCGCGUCUGCCGUGAAAGUCCGGGGCUCAACUCCGGAUCUGCGGUGGGUACGGGCAGACUAGAGUGAUGUAGGGGAGACUGGAAUUCCUGGUGUAGCGGUGAAAUGCGCAGAUAUCAGGAGGAACACCGAUGGCGAAGGCAGGUCUCUGGGCAUUAACUGACGCUGAGGAGCGAAAGCAUGGGGAGCGAACAGGAUUAGAUACCCUGGUAGUCCAUGCCGUAAACGUUGGGCACUAGGUGUGGGGGACAUUCCACGUUUUCCGCGCCGUAGCUAACGCAUUAAGUGCCCCGCCUGGGGAGUACGGCCGCAAGGCUAAAACUCAAAGGAAUUGACGGGGGCCCGCACAAGCGGCGGAGCAUGCGGAUUAAUUCGAUGCAACGCGAAGAACCUUACCAAGGCUUGACAUGAACCGGAAAUACCUGGAAACAGGUGCCCCGCUUGCGGUCGGUUUACAGGUGGUGCAUGGUUGUCGUCAGCUCGUGUCGUGAGAUGUUGGGUUAAGUCCCGCAACGAGCGCAACCCUCGUUCUAUGUUGCCAGCGCGUUAUGGCGGGGACUCAUAGGAGACUGCCGGGGUCAACUCGGAGGAAGGUGGGGACGACGUCAAAUCAUCAUGCCCCUUAUGUCUUGGGCUUCACGCAUGCUACAAUGGCCGGUACAAAGGGUUGCGAUACUGUGAGGUGGAGCUAAUCCCAAAAAGCCGGUCUCAGUUCGGAUUGGGGUCUGCAACUCGACCCCAUGAAGUCGGAGUCGCUAGUAAUCGCAGAUCAGCAACGCUGCGGUGAAUACGUUCCCGGGCCUUGUACACACCGCCCGUCAAGUCACGAAAGUUGGUAACACCCGAAGCCGGUGGCCUAACCCCUUGUGGGAGGGAGCUGUCGAAGG
rnacentral:rRNA from 1 species